rnacentral:rRNA from 1 species
GGCCAAUAAAAUGCCAGUCGAACGGACUUAACUCAUUCUUUUAGAUUGAGAGCGGUUAGUGGCGGACUGGUGAGUACCACUGUAAGCAACCUGCCUAUCAGAGGGGAAUAACAGUGAGAAAUCAUUGCUAAUACCGCAUAUGCUCACAGUAUCACAUGAUACAGUGAGGAAAGGAGUAAUCCGCUGAUAGAUGGGCUUGCGUCUGAUUAGUUAGUUGGUGGGGUAACGGCCUACCAAGACUACGAUCAGUAGCCGGACUGAGAGGUUGAACGGCCACAUUGGGACUGAGAUACGGCCCAGACUCCUACGGGAGGCAGCAGUCGGGAAUAUUGCGCAAUGGAGGAAACUCUGACGCAGUGACGCCGCGUAUAGGAAGAAGGUUUUCGGAUUGUAAACUAUUGUCAUUAGGGAAGAUAAAAGACUGUACCUAAGGAGGAAGCCCCGGCUAACUAUGUGCCAGCAGCCGCGGUAAUACAUAGGGGGCAAGCGUUAUCCGGAAUUAUUGGGUGUAAAGGGUGCGUAGACGGAAGAACAAGUUGGUUGUGAAAUCCCUCGGCUCAACUGAGGAACUGCAACCAAAACUAUUCUCCUUGAGUGUCGGAGAGGAAAGUGGAAUUCCUAGUGUAGCGGUGAAAUGCGUAGAUAUUAGGAGGAACACCAGUGGCGAAGGCGACUUUCUGGACGAUAACUGACGUUGAGGCACGAAAGUGUGGGGAGCAAACAGGAUUAGAUACCCUGGUAGUCCACACU